GAGUUUGAUCCUGGCUCAGAACGAACGCUGGCGGCAGGCCUAACACAUGCAAGUCGAGCGAGACCUUCGGGUCUAGCGGCGGACGGGUUAGUAACGCGUGGGAACGUACCCUUUUCUGCAGGAUAGCCACUGGAAACGGUGAGUAAUACUGCAUACGCCCUUCGGGGGAAAGAUUUAUCGGAGAAGGAUCGGCCCGCGUUAGAUUAGAUAGUUGGUGGGGUAACGGCCUACCAAGUCUACGAUCUAUAGCUGGUUUGAGAGGAUGAUCAGCAACACUGGGACUGAGACACGGCCCAGACUCCUACGGGAGGCAGCAGUGGGGAAUCUUAGACAAUGGGCGCAAGCCUGAUCUAGCCAUGCCGCGUGAGUGAUGAAGGCCUUAGGGUCGUAAAGCUCUUUCGCCUGUGAAGAUAAUGACUGUAGCAGGUAAAGAAACCCCGGCUAACUCCGUGCCAGCAGCCGCGGUAAUACGGAGGGGGUUAGCGUUGUUCGGAAUUACUGGGCGUAAAGCGCGCGUAGGCGGACAUUUAAGUCAGAGGUGAAAUCCCAGGGCUCAACCCUGGAACUGCCUUUGAUACUGGGUGUCUUGAGUUCGAGAGAGGUGAGUGGAAUUCCGAGUGUGGAGGUGAAAUUCGUAGAUAUUCGGAGGAACACCAGUGGCGAAGGCGGCUCACUGGCUCGAUACUGACGCUGAGGUGCGAAAGUGUGGGGAGCAAACAGGAUUAGAUACCCUGGUAGUCCACACCGUAAACGAUGAAUGCCAGUCGUCGGGUAGUAUACUAUUCGGUGACACACCUAACGGAUUAAGCAUUCCGCCUGGGGAGUACGGUCGCAAGAUUAAAACUCAAAGGAAUUGACG
rnacentral:rRNA from 1 species